rfam:Desulfococcus multivorans DSM 2059 ctg11, whole genome shotgun sequence.
UCAGAUAAAGCCAAACCCAUUGGAAAAUGGGGACGGAAAGCCACGGGUCCCGAGUCGUUGCGGAUAGCCGGGUUGCCGAGC